UGACAGUACUCCUACGGGGAGGCAGCAGUGGGGAAUAUUGCACAAUGGGCGCAAGCCUGAUGCAGCCAUGCCGCGUGUGUGAAGAAGGACCUUCGGGUUGUAAAGCACUUUCAGUCGUGAGGAAGGUGGUAGUGUUAAUAGCACUAUCAUUUGACGUUAGCGACAGAAGAAGCACCGGCUAACUCCGUGCCAGCAGCCGCGGUAAUACGGAGGGUGCGAGCGUUAAUCGGAAUUACUGGGCGUAAAGCGCAUGCAGGUGGUUUGUUAAGUCAGAUGUGAAAGCCCGGGGCGUCAACCUCGGAAUAGCAUUUGAAACUGGCAGACUAGAGUACUGUAGAGGGGGGUAGGAAUUUCAGGUGUAGCGGUGAAAUGCGUAGAGAUCUGAAGGAAUACCGGUGGCGAAGGCGGCCCCCUGGACAGAUACUGACACUCAGAUGCGAAAGCGUGGGGAGCAAACAGGAUUAGAUACCCUGGUAG
rnacentral:rRNA from 1 species